rnacentral:rRNA from 1 species
GAGCGUCGCAUGACGCUGGUUUGAAAGAUGGUUUCGGCUAUCGCUGAUAGAUGGGCCCGCGGUGCAUUAGCUAGUUGGUGGGGUAAUGGCUCACCAAGGCAACGAUGCAUAGCCGACCUGAGAGGGUGAUCGGCCACACUGGGACUGAGACACGGCCCAGACUCCUACGGGAGGCAGCAGUAGGGAAUCUUCCGCAAUGGACGAAAGUCUGACGGAGCAACGCCGCGUGUGUGAAGAAGGUUUUCGGAUCGUAAAGCACUGUUGUUAGAGAAGAACAAGGAUAAGAGUAACUGCUUGUCCCUUGACGGUAUCUAACCAGAAAGCCACGGCUAACUACGUGCCAGCAGCCGCGGUAAUACGUAGGUGGCAAGCGUUGUCCGGAUUUAUUGGGCGUAAAGCGAGCGCAGGCGGUUUCUUAAGUCUGAUGUGAAAGCCCCCGGCUUAACCGGGGAGGGUCAUUGGAAACUGAGAGACUUGAAUGCAGGAGAGGUAAGUGGAAUUCCACGUGUAGCGGUGAAAUGCGUAGAUAUGUGGAGGAACACCAGUGGCGAAGGCGGCUUACUGGCCUGUAAUUGACGCUGAGGCUCGAAAGCGUGGGGAGCAAACAGGAUUAGAUACCCUGGUAGUCCACGCCGUAAACGAUGAGUGCUAAGUGUUAGGGGGUUUCCGCCCCUUAGUGCUGCAGCUAACGCAUUAAGCACUCCGCCUGGGGAGUACGACCGCAAGGUUGAAACUCAAAGGAAUUGACGGGGGCCCGCACAAGUGGUGGAGCAUGUGGUUUAAUUCGAAGCAACGCGAAGAACCUUACCAGGUCUUGACAUCCUUUGACCACUCUGGAGACAGAGCUUUCCCUUCGGGGACAAAGUGACAGGUGGUGCAUGGUUGUCGUCAGCUCGUGUCGUGAGAUGUUGGGUUAAGUCCCGCAACGAGCGCAACCCUUGAUUUUAGUUGCCAGCAUUUAGUUGGGCACUCUAAAGUGACUGCCGGUGCAAGCCGGAGGAAGGUGGGGAUGACGUCAAAUCAUCAUGCCCCUUAUGACCUGGGCUACACACGUGCUACAAUGGAUAAUACAAAGGGUUGCCAAACCGCGAGGUCGAGCUAAUCCCAUAAAAUUAUUCUCAGUUCGGAUUGUAGGCUGCAACUCGCCUACAUGAAGCCGGAAUCACUAGUAAUCGUGGAUCAGCAUGCCACGGUGAAUACGUUCCCGGGCCUUGUACACACCGCCCGUCACACCACGAGAGUUUGUAACACCCGAAGUCGGUAGGGUAACCUUUAUGGAGCCAGCCGCCGAAGGUGGGACAGAUAAUUGGGGUGAAGUCGUAACAAGGUAGCCGUAUCGGAAGGUGCGGCUGGAUCACCUCCUUUCUAAGGAA